UACGUAGGGUCCAAGCGUUAUCCGGAAUCACUGGGCGUAAAGGGUGCGUAGGCGGUGCGGUAAGUCUCUUGUGAAAUCUCCGGGCUCAACCCGGAGCCUGCAAGGGAAACUGCCGUGCUUGAGUGUGGGAGAGGUGAGUGGAAUUCCCGGUGUAGCGGUGAAAUGCGCAGAUAUCAGGAGGAACACCAAUUGCGAAGGCAGCUCGCUGGGACGUUACUGACGCUGAGACGCGAAAGCGUGGGGAGCAAACAGG
rnacentral:rRNA from 1 species